GAAAAACAAAUAUCUCUCAGCUCCCCAAAUUGGAAGUGCACCAAAUGAAACCUCCUCCACUUAAUGUACUGCAUGGUAUGGAGGGGGAAGCAUGGGCAGGAACAUAGACUUAAAAUCCACCUAUAACGUCAUUCUUUUGUUCGAACACUCCCACUGUCAUGAUCGUGUGCAGGAUUGGACAAAACAAGAUGGCAGACGGCAUUUCCAAACAAAGGUAUCAAGCCCUAGAACUUCAUUCCAUGAGAUGGGUACACUUCGAAUGUGCAAAUUUGUGGUGAGGAAUUCAAGACCAAUUCUGAAUUGCGUAGGCAUGUAUAAAGGAAACAUCAGUCAGAAAAAUUGUCUUCGUUUGUGACCAGUGCAACACACGCUUUUGCCCAUUAUAAAAGAAACUCGAAGUAAAAAAUACAUUGUUUUCUGAAUACACGAGGUGCAUACAUACAUGUAUACCAUGGCAGCCGUUUUAUAUAUUCGUUUAUGUACAUUGUGAAACGAUUAUUUUUACGGUAUUAUGCUUUGUUUUACAGAAAUACUACUAAUCUUUUACAUUGCAUUUUACACAUGUUGAUUUGUCAUUUCAUUGAACCUAAGUUUUACGUGUUAUUAAAUAUAUUUCAAUGUUA